GAUGAACGCUGGCGGCGUGCUUAACACAUGCAAGUCGAACGGACUUUUAAUGAAACCUAGUGAUUUAAAAGUUAGUGGCGGACGGGUGAGUAACGCGUGGGUAACCUGCCGUAUGCUGGGGGACAACAGUUAGAAAUGACUGCUAAUACCGCAUAAGCGCACAGUAUCGCAUGAUACAGUGUGAGAAACUGAGGUGGCAUACGAUGGACCCGCGUCUGAUUAGCUGGUUGGUGAGGUAACGGCUCACCAAGGCGACGAUCAGUAGCCGGCCUGAGAGGGUGAACGGCCACAUUGGGACUGAGACACGGCCCAAACUCCUACGGGAGGCAGCAGUGGGGAAUAUUGCACAAUGGGGGAAACCCUGAUGCAGCGACGCCGCGUGAGUGAAGAAGUAUUUCGGUAUGUAAAAGCUCUAUCAGCAAGGGAACGAAAAAUGACGGUACCUGACUAAGAAGCCCCGGCUAACUACGUG
rnacentral:rRNA from 1 species